GCUCCCAUCGACUAGAGGCCUAGGUCAUCACCCUUUCAAGGUGGAAACACCGGUUCGAAUCCGGUUGGGAGCA
rnacentral:tRNA from 1 species